GACGAACGCUGGCGGCGUGCCUAACACAUGCAAGUCGAACGGAAAGACCCUGCGUUUGUGGGGUGCUCGAGUGGCGAACGGGUGAGUAACACGUGAGUAACCUGCCCUUGACUUUGGGAUAACUUCAGGAAACUGGAGCUAAUACCGGACAGGAUCUCCUGCAGCAUGGUGGGGGUUGGAAAGUUUCGGCGGUUGGGGAUGGACUCGCGGCUUAUCAGCUUGUUGGUGGGGUAGUGGCUUACCAAGGCUGUGACGGGUAGCCGGCCUGAGAGGGUGACCGGCCACCUUGGGACUGAGAGACGGCCCAGACUGCAACGGGAGGCAGCAGUGGGGAAUAUUGCACAAUGGGCGGAAGCCUGAUGCAGCAACGCUGCGUGCGGGAUGACGGCCUUCGGGUUGUAAACCGCUUUCGCCUGUGACGAAGCGUGAGUGACGGUAAUGGGUAAAGAAGCACCGGCUAACUACGUG
rnacentral:rRNA from 1 species